rnacentral:rRNA from 1 species
CUGGCGGCGUGCCUAACACAUGCAAGUCGAGCGAGGAGAUCCUCGGGAUGAUCCUAGCGGCGGACGGGUGAGUAACACGUGGGCAACCUGCCUCAUAGAGAGGAAUAGCCUUCCGAAAGGGAGAUUAAUACCUCAUAACAUUGCAGUUUCGCAUGAAACAGCAAUUAAAGGAGCAAUCCGCUAUGAGAUGGGCCCGCGGCGCAUUAGCUAGUUGGUGAGGUAACGGCUCACCAAGGCGACGAUGCGUAGCCGACCUGGGAGGGUGAUCGGCCACAUUGGGACUGAGACACGGCCCAGACUCCUACGGGAGGCAGCAGUGGGGAAUAUUGCACAAUGGGGGAAACCCUGAUGCAGCCAACGCCGCGUGAGUGAUGACGGCCUUCGGGUUGUAAAGCUCUGUCUUCAGGGACGAUAAUGACGGUACCUGAGGAGGAAGCCACGGCUAACUACGUGCCAGCAGCUGC